UGAACGCUAGCGGCAGGCCUAACACAUGCAAGUCGAGGGGCAGCAUAUCGCUUCGGUGAUGAUGGCGACCGGCGCACGGGUGAGUAUCGCGUUUGUAACCUACCCUUAACUGGGGGAUAGCCCGAAGAAAUUCGGAUUAAUACCCCAUAAUAUUUAAGCACGGCAUCGUGCUUUCAUUAAAGCUCCGGCGGUUAAGGAUGGGCAUGCGUGACAUUAGUUUGUUGGUAAGGUAACGGCUUACCAAGACUACGAUGUCUAGGGGGUCUGAGAGGAUGAUCCCCCACACUGGUACUGAGACACGGACCAGACUCCUACGGGAGGCAGCAGUGAGGAAUAUUGGUCAAUGGACGAAAGUCUGAACCAGCCAUGCCGCGUGCAGGAUGACAGCUCUAUGAGUUGUAAACUGCUUUUAUAUAGGAAGAAAUCCUUCUACGUGUAGAGGGUUGACGGUACUAUAAGAAUAAGCAUCGGCUAACUCC
rnacentral:rRNA from 1 species